rnacentral:rRNA from 1 species
CACAUGCAAGUCGAACGAUGAAGCCCAGCUUGCUGGGUGGAUUAGUGGCGAACGGGUGAGUAACACGUGAGUAACCUGCCCUUAACUCUGGGAUAAGCCUGGGAAACUGGGUCUAAUACCGGAUAGGAGCGUCCACCGCAUGGUGGGUGUUGGAAAGAUUUAUCGGUUUUGGAUGGACUCGCGGCCUAUCAGCUUGUUGGUGAGGUAAUGGCUCACCAAGGCGACGACGGGUAGCCGGCCUGAGAGGGUGACCGGCCACACUGGGACUGAGACACGGCCCAGACUCCUACGGGAGGCAGCAGUGGGGAAUAUUGCACAAUGGGCGAAAGCCUGAUGCAGCGACGCCGCGUGAGGGAUGACGGCCUUCGGGUUGUAAACCUCUUUCAGUAGGGAAGAAGCGAAAGUGACGGUACCUGCAGAAGAAGCACCGGCUAACUACGUGCCAGCAGCCGCGGUAAUACGUAGGGUGCGAGCGUUAUCCGGAAUUAUUGGGCGUAAAGAGCUCGUAGGCGGUUUGUCGCGUCUGUCGUGAAAGUCCGGGGCUUAACCCCGGAUCUGCGGUGGGUACGGGCAGACUAGAGUGCAGUAGGGGAGACUGGAAUUCCUGGUGUAGCGGUGGAAUGCGCAGAUAUCAGGAGGAACACCGAUGGCGAAGGCAGGUCUCUGGGCUGUAACUGACGCUGAGGAGCGAAAGCAUGGGGAGCGAACAGGAUUAGAUACCCUGGUAGUCCAUGCCGUAAACGUUGGGCACUAUGUGUGGGGACCAUUCCACGGUUUCCGCGCCGCAGCUAACGCAUUAAGUGCCCCGCCUGGGGAGUACGGCCGCAAGGCUAAAACUCAAAGGAAUUGACGGGGGCCCUCACAAGCGGCGGAGCAUGCGGAUUAUUCGAUGCAACGCGAAGAACCUUUACAAGGCUUG